UAGCACCCCAAUCCACAGACCCCACACACUCCCUCCUCCUUUCCUCGUCCGCCGCUGCACUCCUUCUCCUCUCCCAACCUGGCGACUCCCCUCCCCGUCCUCCCUCUCUCCUCCGCCGCCGGAAGCCACCAGGUUCGACGGCCGGGGCGCAUGCGCCACAUCGACCGGGGCGCCGCACCAGUCCACCGCCGCCACACCCUCCCUCCUCCUCCUCCCUCAUCACCACCACACUCUCUGCCAUAGGACCGCGCGCUCGUCCUGUCGCCCCUGCCAAGGUGUCGCGGCGCUCUUCCUGGGCCCUCGCGUCCGGUCUCACCUGGUCCUCAAUGCCAGCCUCAUCGGCUUGCCGAGCUGGCACAGCGGCACCCGCUCUCGACGCCGUCCUUGCGACUCGACCGUGGCAAACCCGAAGGCCAUAGGUGGCUCAUGUGGUGGUGCAGCGGACGACAGCCUCAUCGGGUGGGCGACGGCGACCGCAGCUGGUGCACGAGCUCACACCCCAAUGCUUUUGUGCUCGAGUAGCUUGCAUCUUCACGGCCACCAAAUGCGCAGGACGGUAGUUCAAUUUUCUGCGGAUGAGUCCUUGUCGGAUGGAUGGUGACUAAUGAGAUGCAGUUCUUUGUCUCAAUAAUUUUAGUAAAGGGAUUCUGUACAAGGUAAGAUUACCAGGCAUAGCGGCAAUGCAGCUAGCAAGUGCUCCAGGAUUUCAUGUUGCUAGAUUUGCCGCAGAGGCAAAUGCAUGACUUACUUGCUUUUGACUUUCAUAGUGUUCAGAUCUUUUCUUGUGACAAGGAUGCACAAAAUCAAGUUUUUGCCGGCAGUAGUUUCUUUCGCUGUUCAACUGAUCUGUUCCACUGGAACAAGGGGUCCACUGGACUUCUUAUUGUUUCCCAGCCUGAUGUGGUGGCUCGUUGUGUCUGUGGUCGCUUUUGUAUCUAUGUGAGGUCGUAGGGGACGGGUCUGUCCUUACCCCUUACUGGGUUAUUGCUCGACCUUUCGGGGGACUGUUCUGGUCUAGUGCUAUGAAGGGAGUUCUUUUGGAGCUCUGCCUCGUGUUGUUUCAUGAACGCCUAUGAACAAGAUGCUCUACAUGCCAUACGUAAUUUACGAGGUCUACACACUGUCAUUAUGUUGACCAUGUGUGACAAGGGCUAGGCAAAUAUUUAUCAUGUAGAAUGUGUUACCAGUUCUUAGCAUGCACCAAUUAUUUUAUUUUGCGUUUUUAAUGCAUCGCAUGAUUUCUUUUAUAACAAGACACCCUCCAAAGCAAUUCCACAGAGGCAGCGAGAGGUGUUCUCUCUAUACCUGUUUUUCCCCAUAUCUCUGGUUUUGAUUUCCUGAUAUACAGUUUAUAUAAAUACCACAAUAUGCCAGAUAUGAAAGAGAAAAGCGACAGAAGAAUCCAAUGGAAGAAUUUGGUGAAGAACAAGAACAGACUAUGCAUUGGAGGUUCAGAACCAAUUUCUAUGGAUGAUCAACAUAUGGAUGUUAGUGAGAUUCAAGGGAAAGCGCGACACGACUGUGCCUUCUAUAAGCAAAGCUGAGCUGUUGAGGUAAUUGAUCUUUAGGUGCCUUCGAUAAGCACGCGACACAUCUGUAUGUUCUAUUCAUGUGGUUCCUUAUAUAAGUAUAUCUCAGCAAUAUGUGUCUUGUUUUACUUUUGUCCACGGUGACUAUGGCUGCAUUCUUGGCUUCAGUUAUUAUGUUUGAGUGUAAAAUUGGUUUUCUGAACUGAUGAAUAUGCUAAUUCAUCACUUGUCUCAUUUCUUCUUGCAAAUAGUUUCUACUCCAUGUGGAUAUGAGCUGCUAAGUUUUUUCAGUAACAAGUGUCCAUGUAAUUUUCUUUUGCUCGAGGCAGAUCAUAGCUUUUACGGUUUUAGAGGUGUUGCAAUAUUGAUUUCAGUUGUUCUCGUAUAUGGUUUUCAGAUUAUUCUAUCCUCAAGUAUUGGUUUAUUAUUGAGGAAGCCUUAAACGCAGGAGCUGAAUGUUGUUUUUUAUCUUUUGUCAAAGUCCUGAAUGGUCCAAUGAAAAUCUUGGUACGUACAGUUUCAGAGCUUCAUCCCAUUGUAGUAGGGCAAAAUGGUAUGCAGAGUGUUGAAAGCUUCAUUUUGGUCCAUUAGGUAGUUUAUAGCUUUGUCACUGGAGGUCUGACAAUAAUCGCAGCUUGUGAAAAUUAUAUAUGGCCAUGAGUGCUCAAUAGUUCUCCAUGCAACACAGCUAAUUAUUGAAUCUGUAAUACAUGCUUGUUUCUGGCAGAAGCUUAUUUGAUGAAUUAGCAUUGUGUAAAGUCUUUCUAAGCUCACUUCUCUUUUCUUUCUAUAAACUGGACGACCAGGAUAGAUUUCUCAAUACCAUUUUCGGAUUGUUUAAGCACUGAACAAUGUUAACAGGUUUACCAUUUCUCAUCUCUUUAUGAUAUGCGUAGGUAUUCUGGCAUCUCAAUUUGUCCCCAACCUCUUUCACCGGCCCAUAAAUUAUCUGUCUCUAGGUCUCCACAAUUGUAUUUUGGUGCAGAAAAACAAAGAACUAUUUUUGGCUCAGCUACUUUAUAGGUAUCGUGUACGUUGUCAUGGAUUUGAUGUCAUGUAGUUCCAGGUGUAUUAUUAUACUCCCAGUCUUAGUAUUAGAAAAACAAUAACUAUUUUUGCCUCAGCUACUUUAUAGGUAUCAUGUACGUUGUCAUGGAUUUGAUGUCAUGUAGUUCCAGGUGUAUUAUUAUACUCCCAGUCUUAGUAUAUGAAGGCGUGAUAUAAUGUUACCCUGAA